UACGUAGGGUCCGAGCGUUGUCCGGAGUUACUGGGCGUAAAGCGCGCGCAGGCGGCGGUGUUGGCCCGGUGUGAAAGCCCCCGGCUCAACCGGGGAGAGUCGUCGGGGACCGCACCGCUUGAGGGCGGUAGGGGCUGGUGGAAUGCCUGGUGUAGUGGUGAAAUGCGUAGAGAUCAGGCAGAACACCUGGGGCGAAGGCGGCCAGCUGGGCCGUCCCUGACGCUGAGGCGCGAAGGCGUGGGGAGCGAACGGG
rnacentral:rRNA from 1 species